rnacentral:rRNA from 1 species
AUACGGAGGCUGCAAGCGUUACUCGGAAUCACUGGGCGUAAAGCGCGCGCAGGCGGCUAUUUAAGUUGGAUGUGAAAGCCUACGGCUCAACCGUAGAACUGCAUCCAAAACUAUUUAGCUAGAGUGUGGGAGAGGAGGAUGGAAUUAGUUGUGUAGGGGUAAAAUCCGUAGAGAUAACUAGGAAUACCAAAAGCGAAGGCAAUCUUCUGGAACACUACUGACGCUGAGGCGCGAAAGCGUGGGGAGCAAUCGGGAUUAGAAACCCUAGUAGUCC